CGCUGUGGCUGUGGCGUGGUCUGGGCGUCGGCAAACAAUUUCAAUAAACUUUUAAACUACGAAUCGUACAACAUCCACAAUUAGAGCCUCCAUAUAGAUUGUACACACCUGGCCGUGUAUGGAGAGGAGAUCGCAACGCGAAAUUCGAAGGUCAGGUUUUUUCUAUGGACUGAUUGAACUCCAGCUUCGCAGAAACUCUCAACUAGGAAAUGAUGGAAUGAUGGCGAGCUUACCCAAAAACCUGAACUUAGAUUAACCUGAAUCAAAGUACUAGAUAACUGGACAGUUUUUUUAUUUUUUUAUUUUGUUUUGUUACUCCUGUGCUCUGUAAAAAUUUUCAAUAUACUUCACCCAACUUCAUAUUUAUGACUUAUGUCUCUUCAUUCACACUCGGGCUCCUCAAAGAACAUUCUUCUGAUGCUGCUUUUGUGGCCGUAGUCUGCCCCUAGCCCUAACACAUUUGCGUUA